rnacentral:rRNA from 1 species
UACGUAGGGGGCAAGCGUUGUCCGGAAUUAUUGGGCGUAAAGAGCGUGUAGGCGGUCCGGUAAGUCAGCUGUGAAAGUCACAGGCUCAACCUGUGAAUGCCGCUGGAAACUGUCUGGCUUGAGUCCGGAAGGGGCGAGUGGAAUUCCUGGUGUAGCGGUGAAAUGCGCAGAUAUCAGGAGGAACACCAAUGGCGAAGGCAGCUCGCUGGAACGGUACUGACGCUGAGGCGCGAAAGCGUGGGGAGCGAACAGG